AAUGAACGCUGGCGGCAUGCCUAACACAUGCAAGUCGAACGAGACCUUCGGGUCUAGUGGCGCACGGGUGCGUAACGCGUGGGAACCUGCCCUUGGGUUCGGAAUAACAGAGGGAAACGUGUGCUAAUACCGGAUGAUGACGUCAGUGCAAAGAUUUAUCGCCUAAGGAUGAGCCCGCGUAGGAUUAGCUAGUUGGUGAGGUAAAGGCUCACCAAGGCGACGAUCCUUAGCUGGUCUGAGAGGAUGAUCAGCCACACUGGGACUGAGACACGGCCCAGACUCCUACGGGAGGCAGCAGUGGGGAAUAUUGGGCAAUGGGCGAAAGCCUGAUCCAGCAAUGCCGCGUGAAUGAUGAAGGCCUUAGGGUUGUAAAGCUCUUUUACCCGGGAUGAUAAUGACGGUACCGGGAGAAUAAGCUCCGGCUAACUCCGUG
rnacentral:rRNA from 1 species